CAAAGAUAAGACUCAAAUAGAAAAGACCAACAAAUAGAAAUCUUUCCAUCUACCUAGAGAUUCGCGGGAGUUGCAGAUCCAUGCUAAGCACGUCGAAGCUGAAAUCGUGGAGCUUCCUAAGCUCAUCCAAACUGGGCCAUCCAUAAGUGAAUUUCCCCACCACAACGUACUGAAGAUUCUAAAUAGUGUUCAUUCUUGUCACUUCCUCUUCUUUCCAUCGCACCAAUGGUUCCUCAUCCGCAAAUUCAACAGUUUUCAUUUCAAUGGGCAUUGUAACAUUAGAGUCUUUAUUUUUAAGUAACACUUUAUAAUUUAACGGAUUUUUUUUUGUCAAGGCUCAAAGUAAAGGUUUUUUUGAUUUGGUAAAGGAGGAAACUUGGCUAAGGGUGAUUGGGAUGAAGAGGCUUGAUCAACUUUCUGAAUUGGCUGAGCGGCGGCCAAAUUUGAAAAUUGAAAAUGCUUUUCAUUACAUUUUUAUUGCUCUCUUUAUUUUUCUUCUUGUCUAAUUAUGUCACUUUGUGGAAGAAAUGAAUAUUUAUGUCGUUUUAUUAUUUUUUUUAUUAAGGUGAAAAUGCAUGAUAGUUUAAAUAAA